rnacentral:rRNA from 1 species
UACGUAGGGUGCGAGCGUUGUCCGGAAUUAUUGGGCGUAAAGAGCUCGUAGGCGGCUUGUCGCGUCGGAUGUGAAAGCCCGGGGCUUAACUCCGGGUCUGCAUUCGAUACGGGCAGGCUAGAGUUCGGUAGGGGAGAUCGGAAUUCCUGGUGUAGCGGUGAAAUGCGCAGAUAUCAGGAGGAACACCGGUGGCGAAGGCGGAUCUCUGGGCCGAUACUGACGCUGAGACGCGAAAGCGUGGGGAGCAAACAGG